rnacentral:ncRNA from 1 species
UUAAAGUUUGAUUCUUGCUUUUGUUUUCAUUAUUUUAUGCUUUUACAUGUAUAUUUUUAUGUGAUAAUUUCUUUUUCUUGAUGGAAAGGAUAAAAUUAUAUUCGCAGUAUUUAAUAUUAUUUAUUCUUAUUAUGAGAAAUAGGUAAUUAAUUAAGCUCUGACAAAUUUUGUGCCAGCAGUCGCGGUUAUACAAAAAGAGCUAGUGAAAUUUAUUGGUUUGUAUUAUUUAUUUAUUUUUAAUUUUAAUUUAAUUUUGUUAGGUGAAAUUUCAAUUUUAGUAAAAAUUUAGGUUGAUUAUAAUAUAUGAAAAUUUUAUAUAAAACUAGGAUUAGAUACCCUAUUAUUUUAAUUGUAAAUUUAUAACCUUAAUAUUAAUAGUUAUGAUCUUUAAAUUUAAAGAAUUUGGCGGUAAUUUAAUCUUUCCAGAGGAACCUGUCCUGUAAUUGAUAAUCCACGUUGAAUAUUACUUUAUUUUUACUUGUAUACCUCUGUCAUUGAAUGUCUUAUAAGAGUUAUUUUCUUUAAUCUUUAAUUAGGAAAAUGUUAGGUCAAGGUGCAGUUAUAGUAAAGUAGAGAUGGGUUACAUUUAAUAUAAUAAUGAAUUAUUAUAUGGAAAUUAAUUUGAAAUUGGAUUUGGAAGUAAUAUUUUUUAGAAAAAAAUUAUGAUUAUAGCUCUAAAUUAUGUACACAUCGCCCGUCACUCUCGUUAUUAAGAUGAGAUAAGUCGUAACAAAGUAGGCUUACCGGAAGGUGUGCCUAGUAUUAU